UUAGUUUGGCUGGAUAUGAAAUUCUGGGUUGAAGGUUCUGUUCUUUGAGGAUGUUGAAUAUUGGCCCCCACUCUCUUCUGGCUUGUAGGGUUUCUGCUGAGAGAUCUGCUGUAAGUCUGAUAGGCUUCCCUUUGUGGGUAACCUGACCUUUCUCUCUGGCUGCCCUUAGUAUUUUCUCCUUCGUUUCAACCCUGGUGAAUCUAACGAUUAUGUGCCUUGGGGUUGCUCUUCUUGAGGAAUAUCUUUGUGGUGUUCUCUGUAUUACCUGGGGUUGAAUAUUGUCCUGCUUUGCUAGGUUGGGAAAGUUUUCCUGCGUAAUAUCCUGAAGAAUAUUUUCCAGCUUGGAUUCAUUCUCUCUGUCGCAUUCAGGUACACCUAUCAAACGUAAAUUAGGUCUUUUCACAUAGUCCCACAUUUCUUGGAGACUUUGCUCAUUCCUUUUUAUCCUUUUUUCUCUAUUCUUGUCUUCUCGUUUUAUUUCAUUAAGUUGGUCUUUGACCUCUGAUAUCCUUUCUUCUGCUUGAUCAUUUCGAGUGUUUAAACCUGUGCAUACUUCUCAGCGUUCCCAUAUUGUAUUCAUCAGUUCCAUUAAUUCACUUAUAUUCCUCUCUAAAUUGUCUAUUCUUAUUAGGAUUUCAUGAAACCUUUUUUCAAAGUUCUCAGUUUCUUUACAUUGGGCUACAACAUGUUCUUUUUUUUUUUUUUUUUAAAUAAAGUUGGGCUUUCACCAUGAUAACCAGGCUGGUUCUGAACUCCCGACCUCAGGUGAUCCACCCACCUCAGCCUCCCAAAGUGCUAGGAUUACAGGCGUGAGCCACCACGCCCGGCCACAAAUAAGACAUUUUAUUUGCCACUAUUAUAAGUCUCAAUUUUAAACAGAUUCUUGGACCGGUGGUUCAUAUCCAUCAGCUCGUUCAACUUUAGCACCUGUCUCAUCCCCAGUGGCUUUUCCAGAACUACUGCCUUCACCAUGAAGCUCCAUGAGUUUUCCCAAAUUUAUUGACCACUUCUUUCAAGUCAUUUGUCUGCACCUCUCGGGUCAUGAUUUCCAUCAUCUUCUUCCGGAUUUGGCGGACCUGUUGGUGCUGAACAUAGAGGUCUUCUGUAUCUGAUUGUUGUGUUUUUUAGUAAAACCAACACAGAACAGACGAAGCAAGUAACCA
rnacentral:lncRNA from 13 species